UCAACGGGGAGAUGCGCGUCCUGGAUUUACCGAGUUUCUCCUCAGAAGUGUUCCUGUUUUGUGGUCGAUUCUGGGUAAUGUUAGCUCGAGCGCUGUCAGCUUGACUGAGCUCGUCGCGCAGGUGACGCGCAGCUUACGGCUAGCCUGAUUGAGCUCGUGGCACGGCUGUGAGCUAGCAGUUAACAUCCUUUUCUUGGUGUGUCUUGAUGUUUUCUAUUGGCUAAAGACAAUAAAAGCAUAGAGAUAUAUAAAGCAAAGACAACUAUAAGAGAAUCCUUCAGGGGCCAGUAAAACAUCUACAGUUACAGCAGUAAACAUACUUGUUAUGGGUGCAAAUAAGGAGACUUCGACAUGCCUCUGUGAAACUGACAAUCUCGGGUAGGAGCUGCUGGUUUGUGGUUGGCAGUAUGGAUCACGGUCUGCGACUCAUGAUGUCUGGGCUGGAGACACAAAGAGGUUGUCAACAGGUGAAGAGGUCUGAAGCUAAUACCUGCCAUGGUCUAAUUGGUAUUUCAUGAGGAAUCAUGGAUUCCUUGGUAUUUGAAUUAUGUUGAACCAGGCAAGUACUGCAUCUUUCGAUCAUGUGUUCCAUCUGCUUACACAUUCCUGGCCAGAAUAACAUUUCGUGCUCUUAGCUUAGACUUUUCAGCGUGUGCGCAUAUCUUUUCUGUGUGAGGUCAGAUAUGACUAUUUUCUCAUCUUCACUGGUCAAUGAAAGUUUGUCUAAGAAGUCAAUAAUGUAUGUGGGAAAUUGUCUCCUCU